rnacentral:rRNA from 1 species
UACGUAGGGGGCAAGCGUUGUCCGGAAUCAUUGGGCGUAAAGAGCUCGUAGGCGGUCUGUCGCGUCUGCUGUGAAAACUCAGGGCUUAACCCUGAGCUUGCAGUGGGUACGGGCAGACUAGAGUGCGGUAGGGGAGACUGGAAUUCCUGGUGUAGCGGUGAAAUGCGCAGAUAUCAGGAGGAACACCGGUGGCGAAGGCGGGUCUCUGGGCCGUAACUGACGCUGAGGAGCGAAAGCAUGGGGAGCGAACAGG